rnacentral:rRNA from 1 species
UACAGAGGGUGCAAGCGUUGUUCGGAAUUACUGGGCGUAAAGCGCGCGCAGGCGGAUCCUGUAAGUCUGGAGUGAAAUCUCACCGCUCAACGGUGAGGCUGCUUUGGAUACUGCGGAUCUGGAGACCGGUAGAGGCUGGUAGAAUUGCAGGUGUAGCGGUGGAAUGCGUAGAGAUCUGCAAGAAUACCCGUGGCGAAGGCGGCCAGCUGGGCCGGUUCUGACGCUGAGGCGCGAAGCGUGGGGAGCGAACAGG